GACGAACGCUGGCGGCGUGCUUAACACAUGCAAGUCGAACGGAAAGGCCCUGCUUUUGUGGGGUGCUCGAGUGGCGAACGGGUGAGUAACACGUUAGUAACCUGCCCUUUACUUUGUGAUAACUUCAGGAAACUGGGGCUAAUACCUGAUAGGAGCUCCUGCUGCAUGGUGGGGGUUGGAAAGUUUCGGCGGUUGGGGAUGGACUCGCGGCUUAUCAGCUUGUUGGUGGGGUAGUGGCUUACCAAGGCUUUGACGGGUAGCCGGCCUGUGAGGGUGAACGGGCACAAGGGGACUGAGAUACGGACCAGACUGCAACGGGAGGAAGCAGUGGGGAAUAUUGCACAAUGGGCGGAAGGCUGAUGAAGCAACGACGCGUGCGGGAUGACGGCCUUCGGGUUGUAAAGCGAAUUAGCCUGUGACGAAGCGUGAGUGACGGUAAUGGGUAAAGAAGCACCGGCUAACUACGUG
rnacentral:rRNA from 1 species